rnacentral:rRNA from 1 species
AACGUAGGUGGCGAGCGUUAUCCGGAUUUACUGGGCGUAAAGCGUGUGCAGGUGGCCUGUUAAGUGGUGUAUGAAAUCGCCCGGCUCAACCGGGCGGGGUUAUGCCAGACUGGCAGGCUAGAGGGUGGGAGAGGGAUGUGGAAUUCCGGGUGUAGUGGUGAAAUGCGUAGAUAUCUGGAGGAAUACCGGUGGCGAAGGCGGUGGUCUGGGCCGGCACUGACGCUGAGGAGCGACAGCGUGGGGAGCAAACAGG